rnacentral:rRNA from 1 species
GAUGAACGCUGGCGGCGUGCCUAAUACAUGCAAGUCGAGCGAACAGAUGAGGAGCUUGCUCCUCUGACGUUAGCGGCGGACGGGUGAGUAACACGUGGAUAACCUACCUAUAAGACUGGGAUAACUUCGGGAAACCGGAGCUAAUACCGGAUAAUAUAUUGAACCGCAGGGUGCAAUAGUGAAAGACGGUUUUGCUGUCACUUAUAGAUGGAUCCGCGCCGUAUUAGCUAGUUGGUAAGGUAACGGCUUACCAAGGCGAGGAUGCGUAUCCGACCUGAGAGAGUGAUCGGCCACCCUGGAGCUGAGACACGGUCCAGACUCCUACGGGAGGCAGCAGUAGGGAAUCUGACGCAAUGGGCGAAAGCCUGACGGAGCGACGCCGCGUGAGUGAUGAAGGUCUUCGGAUCGUAAAACUCUGUUAUUAGUGAAGAACAAAUGUGUAAGUAACUAUGCACGUCUUGACGGUACCUAAUCAGAAAGCCACGGCUAACUACGUG